CCUACGGGGGGCAGCAGUGAGGAAUAUUGGUCAAUGGGCGGGAGCCUGAACCAGCCAAGUCGCGUGAAGGAAGAAGGUACUUAGUAUUGUAAACUUCUUUUGUCGGGGAACAAAGGCGGAGACGCGUCUCCGGAUGAGUGUACCCGAAGAAAAAGCAUCGGCUAACUCCGUGCCAGCAGCCGCGGUAAUACGUAGGGUGCGAGCGUUAAUCGGAAUUACUGGGCGUAAAGGGUGUGCAGGUGGUUUUGCAAGAUGGAUGUGAAAGCCCCGGGCUUAACCUGGGAAAGCCAUACAUGACUGCAAGA
rnacentral:rRNA from 1 species